GAUUGCUGUGAUGACUGCGAAAUUCAAGCUCAACAGACCGGAUUACAUGUCUCUCAUAGAGGGAUCUGUAUGUCGACUAUCCCGCUGAACUGAGCUUUC